AUUUUCCAGGACUGCAUAGAAAGGAAAUCUUCCAAUCUCAGAGAUGUGGGACUCUUAAUUGAUGAAGUUUGUUAAGAGUUGAGGCCACAGUAGUCAUGUGCUUGUUUGUAUGAGAUUAGGCAAUGAUCAUGUCCUUAAUGACUUGCAAGUUUGUCACAUUUCUUGUGUGGAGAACUGCUUGGAAAAAUAGAUUUUUAUUGGCGUUUGGUUAAUUUAUUGGAUCAACUCAGUCCUUUGCUUUAUGUUUUGUUGUGAACUGGCAUAUGUAAUAUCUGCUGCUUUCUUAAAAUAAGAAAUUGGUGUGACAGAAUUUCUGUUAUAAAGAUUUGUUUUUUUAAUAGGAGAGCAUGUGAAUGAACCUAAUUUGAAGUGUUUUAGAGAAAAAGAGGCUAGUUUGAAUCUUUUUGAAGUUUAGUGAGAUGGGCAUGUGGUGGUUUUGUGGAUUGGUCAUUUUGGGUUUGGUAGUUGGAGGAAAGGCUAUACAGAGGAGGAUUUAGUGAAGGCAUUGUCUGGACAACCUAAGGUUGGUUUUAGGCAAUAUGCAGGGUAUAUGGAUGUAAAUGUGAAAGCUGGGAAGAGUUUGUUUUACCACUUUGUUGAAGCUAAGGUGAAACCUGAUGAUAAAACUCUAACUCUUUGGCUCAAUGGAGGACCAGGUUGCUCAUCAAUUGGUGGAGGUGAUUUUACAUAGUUGGGACCAUUCUUUCCCACAGGUAACGGUCGAGGUCUUCGAAGAAACACAAAAUCAUGGAAUAAAGGCAUGCAAUUAGGGUAGGGAAGAGCUGAUUGUAACAUGUUUAGAACAAUAUGAGUAAAGAGAAUGAACUUACCACUCCAUGUCUUUUGUCUACUGUAACAUGAAAUCUCCUCUUUGUUGAAUCUCCUGCUGGAGUAGGCUUGUCAUACUCUGAUACAAGUUCAGACUACACCACUGGCGAUGCAAAAACUGCAAUGGAUAUGCAUAUAUUCAUGAUGGAAUGGGUGAAGAAAUUCCCAGCAUUCAAAUCAAGGGUAACUAUAUCACACAGGAGAGAGUUAUGCAG